rnacentral:rRNA from 1 species
CACGUAGGGUGCGAGCGUUGUCCGGAAUUAUUGGGCGUAAAGAGCUCGUAGGCGGUGUGUCGCGUCGGCCGUGAAAACCUGCAGCUUAACUGUGAGCUUGCGGUCGAUACGGGCAUCACUGGAGUUCGGCAGGGGAGACUGGAAUUCCUGGUGUAGCGGUGAAAUGCGCAGAUAUCAGGAGGAACACCGGUGGCGAAGGCGGGUCUCUGGGCCGAUACUGACGCUGAGGAGCGAAAGCGUGGGGAGCGAACAGG